UUUAGAGUCUGGCUGUUCGGACUACAGCUCCAGCAAUACUGGAAAGCUUGUUAGAAACAGAUAUUUGAAGGCUCUUGGGACCAGCUGCUGUGUGGAGCUAGGCAGCCAUGUUUCUAAUAAGUUUCUGAGGCUUGGUGAAGUUAUGCCACUUGUCCCUUAAUGGCCCCCGUAGACUUUGUCUUCCAGGUAAGGCUCCAGUGUAUUGCCAUGCAUGGGCAUAUUUUUUGUUUUGUUUUGUUUUUGUUUGUUUGUUUUUAGAUAGUAUUGCUCUAUAGUUUAGGCUUAUCCUUGAACUCACUAUUUAGCCCAGACUGGCCUCAAAUUCUUUAGUCCUGCUGCUUUGGUCUCAUGAGUAUUGGGAUUUGGCCUAUAUUACCUUACCAGUUAGAUAUGUCCUUUAGUUCCCUUCCAUGUGUCCUGGACAGUUUGAGUAGGUAUAAAAGUGUUCUAUGGCAUUAUCUCAAGCAGUGUGCUCAGGACAGGUGACGGCAUUGGUUAUGAGGUCCCAGCUGGAAGAAGGCCAAGAGUCAGCUAGUAAUAGACAUUGAGCUGCAGAUACUCAGGCAUUUAAAAGAAGCAAAUUAUUAUAGUAUGAUCAGAAGAUGAGAGUGGUUUUUUUGUUUUGUUUUGUUUUUUGUUUGUUUGUUUUUUAUUUAUUUUUGGUUUUUCGAGACAGGGUUUCUCUGUAUAGCCCUGGCUAUCCUGGAACUCACUUUGUAGACCAGGCUGGCCUCGAACGCAGAAAUCCACCUGCCUCUGCCUCCAGAGUGAUGGGGUUAAAGGUGUGCGCCACCAUGCCCAGAAAGAGUUUAUUUGACUUACAGUUCCAUAUCACUGUUUAUCAUUGAAAGAAGUCAGGACUGAAACUCAAGGGCAGGAAUCUGAAAGCAGGAAUUGAUGUAGAGGCUAUGGUAGAUUGCUGCUUGCUGCCUUGCUCACCAUGACUUUCUAAGCCUGCUUUCUUACAGAACCAAGAACCAUCAGCCCAGGGUUGGCCUCACUCACAAUGCAUUAUUAGGCCCUCCUCCUUCAGUCGCCAAUCAAGAAAAUGCCCUACAGCAGUGGCUCUCAAUAUCCUAGUGCUGUGACCCUUUAAUACAUUUUCUCAUGUUGUGGUGACCCCUCCAGCCAUAAAUUCUUAUUGCUACUUUAUAAUUAUAAUUUUGCUACUCUCCUAUGAAUUGUACUGUAAAUAUCUGUUUUCCAAUGGUCUUAGGGAGACCCCUAUGAAAGGGUUGUUUGACUGCUGCCCUAUAGGCUUGCCUACAGCCUGAUCUUAUGGAGACUUUUUCUCAAUUGAGACUUCUUCCUCUCUAAUGACUCAAGCUAUGUGUCAGUUGACAUAAAUAAAAACUAGCUAGCACAGAAGGUUGAGGUCCUUCAAAUGCUAGGAUGACAAAUCACAACUUUUAAUGAACAUCGGAGUGUCUCAUCCUGUGACCUUAACUAAUUUAUCUUCUUUAGUCACAGCACCUGAAGCUCUAAAAUCUCAGUAUCCAGCCAGAUGUGCAGGUACCAUUUUGCUCCCCUGAGCCUCAUCUUGUUGAUGCUUGCAAUGAGGGGUGAACUAAGCAGACAUCUGAUAUCUGUACAUCAAGGCUGGGAGAAUAAGCCAGUUCGGGGCACUUUGCUUUGUUGUUGUGUGUUGGGAAAGAAUGCAGUCACAUCUCAGAUACCUGAUGGUCCUCAUGGGUAGCUGUUGGUUAUUUGUACCAUCUGGCCUUUCUUUCCUUGGAUCUCAAUGUACUGGUCUGAGUUAUCAUCAGCUUAGAACAGAUAUGUAUUUAGCCUAUAGGCAAGUAUAAUUGUGAAUUUAAUCACACAAUUCUUGCUAGGUGUAGAGAUAUACCUGCCAUCCAUCUAAGUACCUUCGAAGUAAAUGCAAGAUGAUUAGGGUUAAGUCAUCCUUUUUUAUGUACUGAGUUCAAGGUCAGCCCAGAAAGUCACAAACAAAAAUGUAGUUUCUUUACAGCCUCAUUCAUGCAGUGUCAAAACUGUGUAUGUGUCUAUCAGCAGUUUGUGUGCUCCUAUGCAGUACGGUGGGAAGAAACACUCUAUUACUUGGGCAGAGUCAUAGGACAUGGUAGCAGAGAAAAAGAGGAAGGCACAGAAUAAUGGCUGUGAUGUGCUGAUACAAAAUGAGAGAAAACUUAUUUCCUUCUUUGCAUUAAAUGUCAGUGGACGUAUCUAAGGGCAUCUGGGUAUCUGCAACACAGAAAUGAAGGGUUCAGUAUUGUACAUUAGACAUAACCAUGAAGCUGGAAAGAUGACUUGGAAGAGGGCCUGGGGUCAGUUCCCAGCACUCACAUGGCAACUCACAACUAUAUUUUAACUACAAUUUCAGAGGAUGCAACUCCCUUUUUGGCGACUCUGAGGAUUUCAUACAUAUAAAAUAAAAUUAAAUGAAUCUUUAAGAACAAUACUAACCAGCACUCACUGUUACAUCUUUAAAUAGCAUUCAUUGGCACCAUCCUGUCCACAUACCCAGUAGGGUAGACAAGGCACUCCUAGAAACAAGCUACCUGUUCUUGACUCCUGUUAUGUUCCUGUCUAUAACAUGAUUAUAUGGGGAAAAUGUUAGAAACCAACACCUUUGCUCAGUUUUUAUGUUUGAAUUUUGCUUUUUUGGCAGCAAAGCAGAGUUGUAGCCAUUUCCUCAGAUGUAGUUGGAGGCAAGUAGGAGGGGGAGACUCAUCCCUGUGCUAGGAUUGGCCUGUGGGUCCAGCACUCUGAUCACUUCUAACCAAAUAACGCUAGGAGCCACAUGUGACUGGCCGUUCAAAGUGUAUAUCAUUUUAUCACCAACUGAAACUUUCUAGAAAGAACUUUUCUGGUCAGCUUAGGUUACGUCAAGAAAUGAUUUGUGGGCUGGUGAGAUGGCUCAACAGUUAAAAGCACCGACUGUUCUUCCAAAGGUCAUGGUGACUCACAACCAUCCCUAACAAAAAUCUGAUGCUCUCUUCUGGAGUGUCUAAAGACAGCUACAGUGUACACAUAUAAUAAAUAAAUAAGUCUUUAAAAAUAAAUAAAUAGAAU
rnacentral:lncRNA from 1 species